rnacentral:misc_RNA from 1 species
UGGUACUCACAAACAAACCAUAACUGUUCCAUCAGCCUUGUCUUGCCUUGCCAUACGGAAUCCUUCGUAAGAUACCAGCUUUUUCUUUCGUAUCCCAUUUUUUAAAACUUUUUUUAUUGCCUUACACUUACUUUUUAUCUAAUGAAUGAAUGUUGUGUGCGGGUUUUUUAUAUUUCAUUUUUUGAUCAACACGUAAGUGAAAAGUAUUAACUAUAAGUUUAAUACAUGUAAAUGCUAGCUUAUCGUUUGGUUGUAAAGGUCACAGUAUAUAUAUAGGUGUCAAACUAGUAAGCAAAGCUUAGCUUUUUCUAAUUGUGUGUACAUUCAAUAACUGGCAGUAUGGUUAUUAUAAUUAUGACACAUAGUACAUGUAUAUCUAUAAAGUUCCAAUGGUUGCUUAAACUUUCAAUAUUUUACAAUGUACAUAAUAUGCAAGUUUACUCAUUUUUACAUUAAUGUUUAUAUUUGUGCAAUACAGUUUUUAAUAUUUGUCGAAUUCUAAUGUGGUUUUUUUCUGAAUAAAGGGACUGUUUAUAUAAGG